rnacentral:rRNA from 1 species
UACGAAGGGGGCUAGCGUUGCUCGGAAUCACUGGGCGUAAAGCGCACGUAGGCGGACUCUUAAGUCGGUGGUGAAAUCCUGGAGCUCAACUCCAGAACUGCCUUCGAUACUGGGAGUCUCGAGUCCGAGAGAGGUGAGUGGAACUGCGAGUGUAGAGGUGAAAUUCGUAGAUAUUCGCAAGAACACCAGUGGCGAAGGCGGCUCACUGGCCCGAUACUGACGCUGAGGCACGAAAGCGUGGGGAGCAAACAGG